GCCAGCGUAGCUCAGUUGGUUAGAGCGUGGGACUCAUAAGCCCGAGGUCACUGGUUCGAUUCCAGUCGCUGGCACCA
rnacentral:tRNA from 2 species